AGAAUCAACGCUGGCGGCGUGCCUAACACAUGCAAGUCGAACGAGAAAGGGGAGCAAUCCCUGAGUAAAGUGGCGCACGGGUGAGUAACACGUGACUAACCUACCCUGGAGUGGGGGAUAACUGAGGGAAAACCUUAGCUAAUACCGCAUAAUACCCACGGGUCAAAGGAGCAAUUCGCUCCAGGAGGGGUCGCGGCCGAUUAGUUAGUUGGCGGGGUAAUGGCCCACCAAGACGAUGAUCGGUAU
rnacentral:rRNA from 1 species